UGGAUAUGAUGAGCUCCACUUCAUGGUCCGUGUUUCUGAACCGAAGUGAUAUCAAUGGAAGUUCUGAUUAC
rnacentral:snoRNA from 1 species